rfam:Ictidomys tridecemlineatus contig055384, whole genome shotgun sequence.
GGGAUUGUGGCUCAGUGGUAGAGCACUUGCCUAGCAUGUGUGAGGCACUGGGUUCAAUCCUCAGCACCA